AUGCUGCCCUGCCUCGCCCUGCUUCUCCUGAUGGAGCUGUCCGUGUGCACUGUGGCAGGUGAUGGUGGAGAGGAACAGACACUCAGCACUGAAGCAGAGACCUGGGAAGGCGCUGGCCCCAGCAUUCAGCUCCAGCUGCAGGAGGUGAAGAUGGGCAAGGCAAGCCAGUUCUUUGGGCUGAUGGGGAAGCGAGUGGGACGUGAGUG
rnacentral:sRNA from 1 species